CCAAUAGCGUAUAUUAAAGUUGUUGCAGUUAAAAAGCUCGUAGUUGAAUUUCGGGAUCAGUGCGCUGGUCGUGCCUUCGGUAUGUACUGGUGUUACUGGUUCCUACCUUCUGACGAACCGUCAUGUCAUUAAUUUGGUGUGGCGGGGAAUCAGGACUGUUACUUUGAAAAAAUUAGAGUGUUUAAAGCAGGCUCGCGCUUGAAUACAUUAGCAUGGAAUAAUGAAAUAGGACGUUUGAUCCUAUUUUGUUGGUUUCUAGGAUUGACGUAAUGAUUAAUAGGGAUAGUUGGGGGCAUUAGUAUUCAAUUGUCAGAGGUGAAAUUCUUGGAUUUAUUGAAGACUAACUACUGCGAAAGCAUUUGCCAAGGAUGUUUUCAUUAAUCAAGAACGAAAGUUAGGGGAUCGAAGACGAUCAGAUACCGUCGUAGUCUUAACCAUAAACUAUGCCGACUAGGGAUCGGAUGAUGUUAAUUUUUUAAUGACUCAUUCGGCGCCUUACG
rnacentral:rRNA from 1 species